GCCGCGGUAAUACGGGGGGGGCAAGCGUUGUUCGGAUUUACUGGGCGUAAAGAGCUCGUAGGCGGCUUGCUUAGUCGAACGUGAAAUCCCUUGGCUCAACUGAGGAACUGCGUCCGAUACUGGCAGGCUUGAAUCCGGGAGAGGGAUGCGGAAUUCCAGGUGUAGCGGUGAAAUGCGUAGAUAUCUGGAGGAACACCGGCGGCGAAGGCGGCAUCCUGGACCGGUAUUGACGCUGAGGAGCGAAAGCCAGGGUAGCAAACGGGAUUAGAUACCCCGGUAGUCCUGGCCCUAAACGAUGAAUGCUUGGUGUGGCGGGUAUCGAUCCCUGCUGUGCCGAAGCUAACGCAUUAAGCAUUCCGCCUGGGGAGUACGGUCGCAAGGCUGAAACUCAAAGGAAUUGGCGGGGGAGCACGGUCAUACUGUUUCCUG
rnacentral:rRNA from 1 species